rnacentral:rRNA from 1 species
AGUGAACGCUGGCGGUAGGCCUAACACAUGCAAGUCGAACGGCAGCACAGUAAGAGCUUGCUCUUACGGGUGGCGAGUGGCGGACGGGUGAGGAAUACAUCGGAAUCUACUUUUUCGUGGGGGAUAACGUAGGGAAACUUACGCUAAUACCGCAUACGACCUACGGGUGAAAGCAGGGGAUCUUCGGACCUUGCGCGAUUGAAUGAGCCGAUGUCGGAUUAGCUAGUUGGCGGGGUAAAGGCCCACCAAGGCGACGAUCCGUAGCUGGUCUGAGAGGAUGAUCAGCCACGCUGGAACUGAGACACGGUCCAGACGCCUACGGGAGGGAGCAGUGGGGAAUAUUGGACAAUGGGCGCAAGCCUGAUCCAGCCAUACCGCGUGGGUGAAGAAGGCCUUCGGGUUGUAAAGCCCUUUUGUUGGGAAAGAAAAGCAGCAGGUUAAUACCCCGCUGUUCUGACGGUACCCAAAGAAUAAGCACCGGCUAACUUCGUG